rnacentral:lncRNA from 1 species
CCAAGCCCACCAAUGGAUAUUUGUCAUCAACAUUAUUUUUUAAUGAUCUCAUGUUGAACUCAUCAUCAUCUCCUAGUUUAAGCAUCUGUUUUUUGAUCUCUCCCAUCCAACUAUGGAUGGAUGCAUACUCCCAACUAUAGCUAUUGUGUUGUGCAUAAAGGUGGAGGGCAUCGUCAGCGAGGUCGACAAGGUCAGAUACUAAAAAAUUGAGGCUUCUGCCCUCUUCCAAUUUCUUAUCCCUCACAAUAUCCACAAUCUCUCUCAUCUCUUUAAUUACUCUUUCCAUAUCCUCUUUUAUGUCCUUAGUUGUUUCCCUUUGCUCUCGAUAACUAAUGUCGAGCUUGUGUAUCACCGAUAAGAGGAGAUCCUCCGACACGAAAAGAUUUAAAAUCAAACUGGAAAAGAUUUAAAAUUUGUCUUGCUCCGUACUUAGAUAAUUUAGGAUGUUUAACAUAGAUUUUUUUGCAUUUUUAUUUAGAGGUAUAUUAUGAAUAUUACUUUAUUACAUUUACAUUUAUUCAUUAAUAGUUGCAUUGGUUCCUUUUUUAAAUUACAAUUAUAGUCAAAUGAAUUAAUACAAAUAUUCAAAACUAUAUAAAAAUAUCUAUGAAUUUUAUUUACAUAGUAAAAAUCACACGUGUUCAACAUGCAUCGCACGUUCUUCCUGCUAGUACAUUACAAAAAUGCGUGGAAUGGUAAGAAUUAAUUAACAGUAAGAAUACAAGAGAUCCAAUAUUUUAAUAUAGUUGCACCAUUUAAACUCGCGUAUGUUAAAAAGCUCAUAUUUGAGUUUAUUGUAUUUUUAAUAUUUUUUUUCUUUCUAAAGUGUAGUAAGACACAUAAUCGAAAUAUGAUGAUCUAUUUGAAGAUGGAACAGAAUAGAAAAAAGAUAUGAAGAAGCCACGAUUGUCAAAGCAACUAAAUGUCAUUUACAAAUACGCAACCACCAAAUUAACAGAGAAGAAAAAUCAAUUAUUCAAAUUAACGCCCACUGCUCUUGCUCAUAGGAUUGAUAUUCACCAUUGGUAUUCUGGAGAUAAAGUGUGAGAUAUAGUGUGAAUUCUUGAUCUUUGCUGCAAUGCUUUCGGUUGUCACCAUCUUUAACUCGAGCGAACACAUCGUCACAAUCUCUACCGGGAGGGUAUCCAGAUAUGGACAAUCAUGGAUUUCUAAUUUCUUGAGAAAACGCAUAUCACCUUCUCCAACUUGUACAUUUCUCAGAUUCCACAACUCUUCGAUGCACAAGACCUGUAGAUUGCAAUAACUGCCAUCCGAAAUCACCAUUUGUUGACCGGUGUAUGCAUUCCGCAAUUUGAGGUACUCUAGAUCCCGUAACUUCCCCAGUCGUGGCAUAGGGUCUUCAUCAAGACAGCUAUUAAGCAAUGUCAAUGAAUUAAGAUUCGGAGGGAAACUUCUUGGAAGCCUUCUAAGGAGUCCAUCCAAUUUGAGUGUACGGAGAUUUUGUAGAAUGCGAAGCUUAUCCAAACAAGGCAUGCUUUUGAAACGAUACCCUCUUAAGAUUACUUGUUCAAGAUAAGGGAAGUGAGGCAAUGACACAAAGAGCUUGCUUACAUCUGAGUUUUCAUCCAAUUCUUUUAUGCCCAAUUUCAUAAACCGAAAAUACCGUGUUAAGUCCGAGAGCGCAUAUGUCAAAUCAUCAAUCGAGACGUAGGUUAAGGUCUCCAUAUACCGUAGCACGUUUAUGUCGAAAUUUCGGCAAAUCACAUCAGACAAAUAGAGGUGGUGAAGUCUACGCAAUUUCCAUAUAACAUCUGGCACCUCCACCAUAAAGUUUUGAGCUAUGUCAAGAAUCUCAAGCUUUUCCAAGCACCCGAAUGAGUCUGGGAGCUCUUUUAUGUAAUUGUUUCUCAAUCCCAAGUAUCUUAGUUCCAUCAAUGUGCCAAUAGUUUCCGGUAAAAACUUCAACCCAAAAUCUUCCAAGUCAAGUAUCUUAAGUUGUUCAAAGUUCUUCCAAUAACAUGGACUAGUGUCCAAGUAGCCACCUCCAUGGAAGAAGAGAGAAACAAGAUGUUUAUCUUGAUCCGUGGAGUAGUUGAACUUGUCUCUGCUACAAAUGAUAACACGAUGAUGACGAGGACUCUCAAAGGGCCGAUUAUUUCCAUUAUUCCUUAGGAUCUCAAAACUGAAUUCCUCCUCUGCCUUUUGGAUGGAUAGCAUGUGUAGCACAACAUUCAUGCUAUACUUCGUGCCCUUGUCAUUGACAUCAAUAACAGAUUCAUUGAUUAAACCAUCUAAAUAUGUUUUACAAUGAUAUCGUUUUGCUGCUCCUACUACAACCCAAACCUGUGUCAACUUUUCUGCCCUCAAAGUUGUAUUUUCCUUAAAGAAGGCCAUAGACAAGAAACAUGACCUCAGUUUGGAAUCAAAUUUAUGAUAAAAUGGUUCCAACAACUUCAAUGUUGAACCAAAAUCAACUGAUUGAAGAAGUUGUUCCCAUUCACUCUCCCCUGAGACCUUCUUUUCUGCUAACUGUUUUCCCACUUCUUUUAUAGCUAAUGGCAGACCACCACAUUUUCUCAACAUUUGUUUUCCCAUAUGAUCCAAGGACAUUGGGAAUUUGUGCUCACCCGUUAAUUUAUUGCCAUGGUUUAUUGUUUUGAGAAACAAUUGCCAGCUCUUCUUAGAAUCCAAAGGUUCCAUCUUAUAAACAUUUUCAUCACGUACAGGUAUGUCGACAUGUGUCGUGUGACUUGUGAGCAGAAAUCUACUUCCAUUGCCUGCUUCCAAAAAAGAACAGUCGUCAGAAGGUUUGAGUCAAGAAAGUUUAUAUUGUUAGAUUACUUGAUCCAGUCAUGAUUUAUUUUUAAAAGAUAACACUGGACACUAUUGUGUUUGGAAAUUAUAUUAAGUUUAAUCACAAAAACUUUAAAUUCUGAACCAGCGUUGAGUUAAAAUCUAAGUUAGCGCAACUGCACAACACGACUAGAUCAUAGGCAGACGAAAGAUGAUCAUACAUACCUUCUUGCGGAAGAGCUUCCAAGAAAGACUUCAAGCGCAUUUGUUUGGGCAUGUCGUCGAGAACGAUUAGAUAUGGCGUUCCUUGUAGGUGUUGGGAAAGCAUAUCUCGGAGACUUUGGUUGUCCAUAUCCUCCAAUAAGGAAGAUGUAUGGAGAUUCUGAGGAUCUUCUAGCUGCUGUAUUACUUUGAUAAGCAGCUCCUUAAUAGUAGUGAAGUGAUCAGUAGAAUUAGAUACCCAAGCACGACGCUUGAAUCGAUCAACGACGGUUGGAUGGUUGAAUAUCUCUCUGGCAAGAGUUGUCUUUCCAAUACCAGCCAUCCCUUUGAUAAGAUUAAUAUUGCCCAUGUAUUUUUUCCCACCAAUAAUCCUUUUGUGAAUCAGAAAUUCGACAUCUUCGUCCAAGCCCACCACAUAUUUGUCAUCUUCAACAGUUUCUGAUGAUCUGAUGUUGGACUCAUCAUCAUCUCCCAGUUUAAGCAUCUGUUUUUUGAUCUCUCCCAUCCAACUAAUGAUGGAAUUAUACUUCCUAUUGCUUUUGUGUCGAUUGGAAAGGUGGAGGGCAUCGUCAGCGAGGUCGACAAGGUCAGAUACUAAAAAAUUGAGGCUUCUGCCCUCUUCCAAUUUCUUAUCCCUCACAAUAUCCAC